rnacentral:SRP_RNA from 1 species
GCCGGGCGUGGUGGCACACGCCUGUAGUCCCAGCUGCUCGGGAGGCUGAGGUGGGAGGAUCGCUUGAGUCCAGGAGUUCUGGGCUGCAGUGCGCUAUGCCGAUCGGGUGUCCGCACUAAGUUCGGCAUCAAUAUGGUGACCUCCCGGGAGCAGGGGACCACCAGGUUGCCUAAGGAGGGGUGAACCGGCCCAGGUCGGAAACGGAGCAGGUCAAAACUCCCCUGCUGAUCAGUAGUGGGAUCGCGCCUGUGAAUAGCCACUGCACUCCAGCCGGGGCAAUAUAGUGAGACCCUGU